ACACGUGCGCCAAUGCUUUUCAAAGGAGCUUAUUAUGCAUAAUAUGUCCUGUCCUUUUUUAGAUUUUAGGAGAGAU
rnacentral:tRNA from 1 species